GUUAUCAGCCAUAAGCUCCCUUCCUACACAUUUGUGAGCAAGUAAAAAUAUUUCUUGCAUCUUGCUUCAUUGUUUUGUGCUCUCUGUUUUCUUCUUUUACUCCUCCUCAUCCCCAACACUAGUUAUUGGGGUUUUUGUUCAGUUCGCCUCAGUUAUAGUACCUUGCCACUAUAUGCAUUUGGCACAUAGAUGGGAAGUUCAUACUAGAAGGUGAUAUUUGAGGAACAUAUUCGGGAAUGGCUGAUUGGAUGGGUUUGGAAGGCAAAAAAGAAGAAUAAGGGCAGUGGUAUCAGAAGGUCGUCGAAUGAUAGUAGCCAAGUUGGUCCAAAACUAGAGUCACCUUUGGUAUUUGAGAUAGAUAAGGUUACUGGAAAGGAGUCUUCUUCAUCUGCAGUAUGAGUAUAUAACUAUGCAGAUUUGAGUCUAAAUGAAUUUGUAGAUUUGGUGUUGGGCUAUCCUAACAUUAUUAGUCUCAAGCAUUUAGAGAGAGGGUUUUUUCCAUGAUGGUACAAAGAAUACAUUAGCCAAUACAUUGUAUUGAAGCACUUAUUCUUAGGCUUUGUUAACCAUUGAUAUUGAAAAAUGGUUUAAA